rnacentral:rRNA from 1 species
AUUGAACGCUGGCGGCAUGCCUUACACAUGCAAGUCGAACGGCAGCACGGGAGCAAUCCUGGUGGCGAGUGGCGAACGGGUGAGUAAUAUAUCGGAACGUGCCCAGUCGUGGGGAUAACGUAGCGAAAGCUACGCUAAUACCGCAUACGAUCUAUGGAUGAAAGCGGGGGAUCGCAAGACCUCGCGCGAUUGGAGCGGCCGAUAUCAGAUUAGGUAGUUGGUGAGGUAAAGGCUCGCCAAGCCGACGAUCUGUAGCUGGUCUGAGAGGACGACCAGCCACACUGGGACUGAGACACGGGCCCCAGACUCCUACGGGAGGCAGCAGUGGGGAAUUUUUGGACAAUUGGGCGCAAGCCUGAUCCAGCAAUGCCGCGUGCAGGAUGAAGGCC